GGGUUUAAUGUGCUUCCCUGAAUUUCCCUCCCUUCAUGGGUUAAUUCUCUAGCACGGUCAAGGUGCAGAUUAUUGGUUCCCGAGUAUUAUUUGGAUACAAUGUUUUGAAGUGGGUGUGAUUGAGAGGUUGUCUCUGGGUUCUUCCUUUCCUCUGUCUCUUUCUUCGAAUGUAUAAGACAGAGGAGCUGAGCGUCUUGCUAACUCUGUCCAACGGAUUUUAUGUUCGUCAUUUGCAUGUAUCAGGAAGCAGCAAUAAACGUGUGAACAUCA